AAGCAAAGGCUACAUCCAGAUGCCAGGAAUGCACUGACGCCUGUUCCUGGAAGCCGGGCUCCCACUCAGCCCCUGGGAGCAGCAGCCGCCAGCCCCUCGGGACCUCCAUCUCUGCCCUGCUGAGCCACCCGGGUUGGGCCAGGAUCCCGGCAGGCUGACCCCGUCCUCCACUGAGAAAUGGCUUCGGGACAAGGCCCAGGUCCUCCCAGGCAGGAAUGCGGAGAGCCUGCCCUGCCCUCUGCUUCUGAGGAGCAGGUAGCCCGGGACACAGAGGAGGUUUUCCGCAGCUACGUUUUUUACCGCCAUCAGCAGGAACAGGAGGCUGAAGGGGCGGCUGCCCCCGCCGACCCAGAGAUGGUCACCUUGCCCCUGCAACCUAGCAGCACCAUGGGGCAGGUGGGACGGCAGCUCGCCAUCAUCGGGGGCGACAUCAACCGACGCUGUGACUCAGAGUUCCAGACCAUGCUGCAGCACCUGCAGCCCACGGCAGAGAACGCCUAUGAGUACUUCACCAAGAUUGCCUCCAGCCUGUUUGAGAGUGGCAUCACCUGGGGCCGUGUGGUGGCUCUUCUGGGCUUCGGCUACCGUCUGGCCCUACACGUCUACCAGCGCGGCCUGACUGGCUUCCUGGGCCAGGUGACCCGCGUCGUGGUUGAUUUCAUGCUGCAUCACUGCAUUGCCCGGUGGAUUGCACAGAGGGGUGGCUGGGUGGCAGCCCUGAACUUGGGCAAUGGUCCCAUCCUGAACGUGCUGGUGGUUCUGGGUGUGGUUCUGUUGGGCCAGUUUGUGGUAGGAAGAUUCUUCAAAUCAUGACUCCCAAGGGUGCCCUUUGGGGUGCCAGCUCAGACUCCUGCCUGGACUUAAGCCAAGUUUUUGCCUUCUCGGCUCCCUUGCAGGGGUCCCCCCUCAAGAGUACAGAAGCUUUAGCAAGUGUGCACUCCAGCUUCAGAGGGCCUCUGUGUGGGGGCCAGUCAGGCUGCAGAAGCGCCUCAAUGUUGUAUGGUGCUAGUGGGCCCUCUCUGGGCCCAGGGGCUGUGGCCUCCUCCCUCGGCUCUCUGGGACCUCCUUAGCCCUGUCUGCUGGGAGCUGGGGAGACUGAUAACUUGGGGAGGCAAGAGACGGGGAGCCACUUCUCCCCAGAAAGUGUUUUAAUGGUUUUAGCUUUUUAUAAUACCCUGUGAGAGCCUAUUCCCACCAUU